GACGAACGCUGGCGGCGUGCUUAAAACAUGCAAGUCGAACGAAGUGGCGAACGGGUGAGUAACGCGUAAUCAACCUGCCCUUCAGAGGGGGACAACAGUGGGAAACGAAUGCUAAUACCGCAUAAUGACGGAGGGGAUUGCGUCUGAGUAGCUAGUUGGAGGGGUAACGGCCCACCAAGGCGAGGUUCAGUAGCCGGUCUGAGAGGCUGACCGGCCACAUUGGGACUGGGACACGGCCCAGACUCCUACGGGAGGCAGCAGUGGGGAUUCUUCCGCAAUGGCCGAAAGUCUGACGGACCAACGCCGCGUGGGUGAUGACGUCCGUCGGGUUGUAAAGCUCUGUUAAUCGGGACGCGGUACCCUAAUAGAAGGCCACGGCUAACUACGUGCCAGCAGCCGCGGUAAUAC
rnacentral:rRNA from 1 species